UGACGUCUCUCUCUGCCCCACGGACCCCUCGCGGAUCUUGGACCCCGUUUGCCUUGCCCUCUUUGGACUUGACUGCUUUCUCAACAACACUAGGAAAUACCCACAGCGUUGCAGACACUGCCUCCCAACUCUCCCUUCCACCUCCUCCUCGCUUCCGCUGUACGCCAAAAAGAUCAUACGACAAGCCUUUCAAAUGAAAACCCUAUCCAACCGAAGCUGCUUCAACAAAUCUAACCCCGGUGUUUGAAAAGGCGACUUUUCACCGACAACGAAGAGAACAAAAG